GUCGCGACAGCGCCUGAGAACGAGAGUUUCGUGCAUGGUGAUAGCCGGCGUGGUGACGUUGCGCAGCGAAGGAUUUGUUUUGGGCUUGGAUCUUCCACUCAAAUUUCGAGGUCACCAUGAUCACCGACAUUCAACUGGCUGUCUUUGCGAAUGCCCUUGGGGUAUCCUUGUUUCUCCUGGUGGUUCUGUACCACUACCUCUCUGUAAACAACCCAAAGAAGGCUGAUUAGGGGAUAAUGUGUGCUGGUGUGCGUUCAUCUGGGCUGUGCCUGCAUCUGCUUUGACUUGAUUUCUUCAUGGAGGGAAACCCACCAGACUUCAACUAACCAUACGAGCGUGUGUGCUGUAAAUAAAUGAUGUGCACUGUUUCCAGA